CCUACAAACACCCCCCACAUACCCACACACACACCCCACACCCCUCCACACAAUCACACCCACCUCCACACACCCACAUAAACACACACACACCUGCUUGUUCCAUCCAGAAACUCCUCCCAUGAGCCAUGCUGAGCAAGAGGUGGUCCUGACCCGAUGCUGACUGAUCAUGAACCACAGCCCAAGAUGAAGCACUCUGACGUCUCCCUAAUUGGGCGUGCACUCCACUCCCCUGGGGCCGGGUCCUGCUCUGGACACGGGAUGACCUCAACAGCUGAGCUGUUGAGGGCUCACCUGAGAGUAAAGUUAAUAAAGAGACCAGGGCUGUUUGAAUUGGAAUCUGUCACCAAUACCAGAAGAGCCCUCAGAGAGCCUUGAAUGUCACACCGAGGAACAUGGACUAACCUGAGACAAGUGUCUUUGAAGGAUUUUGGGCCAAGGAGUUACAAGACCCCCAAGCAAUCGGUGCAGUGUAACUCACAGAAAUGGAAAACGAGCUCCUGUUCACACUAGAGGGCAGAGGCCCAGAGACAUCAAGUGACUUUCCUGAGGCCACACAGUGGUCAGAGAUGAGACCAAGCACCUUUUUUUUUCUACUCCGAGUGGAGGCUGUCAGAGGGGCUGGAGCCGCAGUCUGCGUGAGUUGUUGCUUCUUGCAAAGAACCAUGGGAAGAGGGCCUGCUGGGAAGCCCCAGAAGUGUGGAUUGAGAGCAGAGGUCACAGGAGGAGAGACAUUGGCCCAGUCUUGUAUCCUUUCACAAGGAGACCGAAGGGCCAUGGCUGCCUGUAUCACAAGGACCAGGAGGCCCUGAACUUGCCAGCGUGACUCUCCUGUCCUUCCCGCCUUCCCCGACUCCCACCUCUGGCCUGGAGCCGAGGAACAGGCUGAGCUGUGUAGUGGGAUUGUACCCUGUGGCCAGGCAGCUGGGAGGGGGCCACCCGAGGGACAGGAAAUAGCUGGGUUUGGGGAAGUCCGCAUGGCCAGCCAAGCCAAGCGAGCCCACAAUCGCCCGGGCAGCCCUCACCCAGGCCCUAUCAAUGCCCCGUUUGAGGCUCACACAGGGGUCCUUUGACAGGACUGUGAUGGUUUGGACCCACUGACAGCGCCUGUUUGAGCUUCAUGCCUGGAAAGGAGCCGGCCCCAGGAUAGAGGGAGCUGCUCCCAGUCCUGGGCAGGUGAGGGCAGCCUGGAGUGGCUGUCUCUGGAGGGAAAAAAGAGUUGGUAAAAUUAAACCUGGGGUGCUAAGCGGGGCAACCUUAGGUUUCUCAGGGGCUGUGACGGUAGCAGGGAGGGUCCCCAUAAUUGAGCGGGCCCUUCAGUGUGCUGGCUCCAUGAAGCUCCCAGUGGCCUCACGCAGCAGGUGCUGGGUGGUGAUCAUUCCUGAGGUUCAGGGAGGGGCUGCCUCUGCCCACAAUCAUGCAUCGGCCAAGGGGCAGAGCUGGUUGUACUUCAGUCCACCCAAAUGGACCUGAGCUUGUCUCUCUAGACCUUUCUGGGUAACCUCACCCUUCCUCUGGGAACUUCCACCUCACAAGGCCCUCAUUUAAUUCCUAUUCCAGGCUCUGGACCCUCUUGGGAGGGCCCUGGCAUAAGAGGGAGGCCUUGGAGGCAGCAGGGAGCUUUUGGAUGUCGCAGGCCCCUGGAGAGUGAUGCCCAGCUCUGAGCAGAGGACACAGAGUAGGGGAUGGCAAAGGACGCAUCGAGUUUCGGUGGUGCUGGAUUUGCACUACCUUGGGGGACAUACACUGGGAGAUGCUCAGGAGGCAGCUGGGUCUCUAGGUCUGGAGUUCAGGAGAGCGAGGAAGGAGGCAGGCUGAGAUGUGAGCACUACUUGUGGAUGUGUGGGUGGGAUGUCAGGUUGGGUGGGUGUCACCCAAGUUCACAGAGGUGUUAACCCAUCAGCAGGACGUGCUGCUGCACCGUAGCCUCCUCAGACAGGCCUGCGGAUGAAAGUACGUGCCUCCUCACCCUGGAUUCCAGUUUGGCUGACCAGGCGUGGGGCCCGAGACCAAGGGAGCACAUGGGAGGUGUCAUGAACCACAUGUGACACCUCAGAUUAUGGGGGCUGUGGUCCGAAUGGGGCCCGGGCAGGAGGAGCAGCCCAGCUGCACUGCAGGCUCCUGGAUGCCGGGAUGAGCGUGGCCACCUUGCAGAUGAGGAACCUGCCCUGUGACUGUGGGUCCCGCCACGUCUCUGCCUGACUUUUGGGAAGACCAGAGAUUCGUGCCCAAUCUGGUACUCUGGCAGUGAAUUUGCAAUGAAAUUGUUUAAGUGUCAAGGAAAGCAGUUGCAGGUUAAAGGAAGUCAGGGGCAGGACCCAUCCUUGGGUUCUCCUUGGGUCUUUGGGUGGCAGCAGGGCCUCUGCGGAGGGUGUAAGCAGCAGCCACUGUGUGUCUCUGCAGCCACAGGCCUUGCCCAUUGCCCUCCCGGAUGGGCUCUCUGGGAACCAGUGCUCACAUUCCAGUCUGUCUCCUGGGUCUCCAGGAGGAAGCCUCCCUAAUUAGCCACCAAGAGCGCUCCGAUGGUCAGUGGGCACAGCAGAGAGCUGCUGGCACGAGGGAGCCGCAGUUCUAAAUAAACAAACAACAUCCACCUGAGAAACAAUUUUGCUGCCAUCUCAGUGGCCCAGAUGGUCAAACAGGACACUCGCCUGCUGCUUCCUCUGCUCUACCUGCUGGGGGGACAUGCCAGGCUGGAAAACAGCUGGGCCAAGGCCUGGAGAUGUGACCAGGUAUCCUGAGAAAAGGACUUGGGUGCAGGUAGCUUAUUUGGGAGGUGAUCCUAGGAAAUGCAGCGAGGGGAAGUGAGGUGGGGACAGGAUGAAAGCCAAUACAAUGUGCAUGAAUAAGCUGGACACCUCUGUGGGCCACUGGGGCUCACUCCUGCUGGGGACCUUCUGCGGAACGGUGAGGAGCGUGUCUCAGAACUGUCCAGUGGGGAAUGGGGACGCUGGGGUCUUCUGAUCCCCAUAGGUUGUGGGUUACCCCUGCGGAUGUUAAAUCCCAGGCUGCCUGGCCCACUGCCCGCGUCCCUGGGAACUGCCUGCUGCAGCUGUAGGUGAGCUGGACCCACAGUGGGCUGAAGGGCCAUGGGUCGCGGCAUUGACUGGGCCAGCUAGAGUUCCCAGUGCUAAACCUGAGCCCGCUCCUCCAGAUGCUCAUCUCUUCUUCCAUUGUGAUUGACUGCAGGGGCCAUUCGCCGUGGGAAGCUCUCACAGCCGCUCCUGGGGUGAAGGCUGACCCUCUGGCCCCGAGAAGGCAGGUAGCGGGGAGGACCUUGUAGUUUUAACAACAGCAUUAAGAUUCCAAUGCUACAGACAUGAAACAGGAAGAAAAUAGAGGGAUUUACUGGAAAUCACCACAGCUGGCCUGUGACAGAGGGGGACUCAAGCCCAGCUCUCUUUGAUUCUGAAGCCGUUUCACUUCACAGCAUUCCUCAAAGUCUGUCGUGCAUGCUACCAGCAGAAAACAAGAAAAUCUUCAGUGAUAUGUGGAUGAAAAAGCUAAAUUUAAUUAGUUUUGAAUUUAUUUAUAUUUUAUAUUGAAUGAAUGCUUAUUGGAAUAAAUAAAUAAACCGUACACCAAACCAGUGAUUUCAUGGCUAUUAUUUCCUAGAAGGCAGAGAAAUUUUUAAGAAGUGAGUUGGUUUAGAAUGAAUUAUACAAAAAGAUUAAAUAAAUACUGGUAAAGGCGUAUGUGGAUACUGCCAAACAAUGACGGUGAGCAAAGAGUGAAGGGGGCAGCCUGCCCCAGCUGAGGUUGCAUCUGGUUAGCUAGGUUAUUGCAAGUUAACCCAGGUUUGCUCUUUA